GGUUCGAUGCCACGUCGUCGAUAGCUCAAGGGCGGUGAUCGACGAUGCUAUGAUUGAACCAAAAAUAAGUUUUUUCACAUGUCGAUAGGAAUCUGUUUAUCUUUGUUCUAUAGAUUUACAGAGCCGUUUUGUGUGAUUACAUUU